UGGGGAAUUUUGCACAAUGGGGGAAACCCUGAUGCAGCGACGCCGCGUGAUUUAGAAGGCCUUCGGGUUGUAAAAAUCUUUUCUAUGGGAAGAAAAUGACAGUACCAUAGGAAUAAGGACCGGCUAAUUACGUGCCAGCAGCCGCGGUAAUACGUAAGGUCCGAGCGUUGUCCGGAAUCAUUGGGCGUAAAGGGUACGUAGGUGGGUAAGCAAGUUAGAAGUGAAAUCCUAUAGCUCAACUAUAGUAAGCUUUUAAAACUGCUCAUCUUGAGGUAUGGAAGGGAAAGUGGAAUUCCUAGUGUAGCGGUGAAAUGCGCAGAUAUUAGGAGGAAUACCGGUGGCGAAGGCGACUUUCUGGCCAUAACCUGACGCUGAGGUACGAAAGCGUGGGUAGCAAACAGG
rnacentral:rRNA from 1 species